rfam:Intrasporangium oryzae NRRL B-24470 contig50, whole genome shotgun sequence.
CGGGGCAUGGCGCAGUUUGGUAGCGCGUCCGCUUUGGGAGCGGAAGGUCGCAGGUUCAAAUCCUGUUGCCCCGA